rnacentral:rRNA from 1 species
UCUACGUAGCAGAGUUUGAUCAUGGCUCAGAUUGAACGCUGGCGGCAUGCCUUACACAUGCAAGUCGAACGGCAGCGCGGGGCAACCUGGCGGCGAGUGGCGAACGGGUGAGUAAUAUAUCGGAACGUACUCUGGAGUGGGGGAUAACGUAGCGAAAGUUACGCUAAUACCGCAUACGAUCUAAGGAUGAAAGUGGGGGAUUCGCAAGAACCUCAUGCUCCUGGAGCGGCCGAUAUCUGAUUAGCUAGUUGGUGGGGUAAAGGUCCACCAAGGCAUCGAUCAGUAGCUGGUCUGAGAGGACGACCAGCCACACUGGAAUUGAGACACGGUCCAGACUCCUACGGGAGGCAGCAGUGGGGAAUUUUGGACAAUGGGCGCAAGCCUGAUCCAGCAAUGCCGCGUGAGUGAAGAAGGCCUUCGGGUUGUAAAGCUCUUUUGUCAGGGAAGAAACGAUGUCCUCUAAUACAGGGUGUUAAUGACGGUACCUGAAGAAUAAGCACCGGCUAACUACGUGCCAGCAGCCGCGGUAAU